rnacentral:rRNA from 1 species
ACGGAAGGCAGCAGUGGGGAAUAUUGGGCAAUGGGGGAAACCCUGACCCAGCAACGCCGCGUGGAGGAAGAAGGUUUUCGGAUCGUAAACUCCUGUCCUUGGUGAAGAGCAGAAGACGGUAGCCAAGGAGGAAGCCCCGGCUAACUACGUGCCAGCAGCCGCGGUAAUACGUAGGGGGCAAGCGUUAUCCGGAUUUACUGGGUGUAAAGGGAGCGUAGACGGCAAGGUAAGUCUGAAGUGAAAUGCCGGGGCUCAACCCCGGAACUGCUUUGGAAACUAUCUCGCUCGAGUACCGGAGGGGUAAGCGGAAUUCCUAGUGUAGCGGUGAAAUGCGUAGAUAUUAGGAGGAACACCAGUGGCGAAGGCGGCUUACUGGACGGUAACUGACGUUGAGGCUCGAAAGCGUGGGGAGCAAACAGGAUUAGAUACCCUGGUA